rnacentral:rRNA from 1 species
CCUACGGGAGGCAGCAGUGAGGAAUAUUGGUCAAUGGACGAGAGUCUGAACCAGCCAAGUAGCGUGAAGGAUGACUGCCCUAUGGGUUGUAAACUUCUUUUAUAUGGGAAUAAAAUGUUCCACGUGUGGGAUUUUGUAUGUACCAUAUGAAUAAGGAUCGGCUAAAUCCGGGCCAGCAGCCGCGGUAAUACGGAGGAUCCGAGCGUUAUCCGGAUUUAUUGGGUUUAAAGGGAGCGUAGGUGGAUUGUUAAGUCAGUUGUGAAAGUUUGCGGCUCAACCGUAAAAUUGCAGUUGAAACUGGCAGUCUUGAGUACAGUAGAGGUGGGCGGAAUUCGUGGUGUAGCGGUGAAAUGCUUAGAUAUCACGAAGAACUCCGAUUGCGAAGGCAGUUCACUGGACUGCAACUGACACUGAGGCUCGAAAGUGUGGGUAUCAAACAGGAUUAGAUACCCGUGUAGUC